rnacentral:rRNA from 1 species
UACGUAGGAUGCAAGCGUUGUCCGGAAUUACUGGGCGUAAAGCGCACGUAGGCGGCUUGGUAUGUCGGGUGUGAAAUCCCCGGGCUCAACCUGGGAACUGCAUCCGAAACUGCCUUGCUAGAGUAUGGGAGAGGGAAGUGGAAUUCCGGUGUAGCGGUGAAAUGGCGUAGAUAUCGAAGGAACAUCAGUGGCGAAGGCGACUUCCUGGACCAAUACUGACGCUCAGGUGCGAAAGCGUGGGGAGCAAACAG